CCCUUAGAUGUUCUGGGCUGCACGCGCGCUACACUGAUGCGUUCAACGAGUGUACAUCCUUGCCCGGUAGGGUUGGGUAAUCUUCUGAACACGCAUCGUGAUGGGGAUAGAUUAUUGCAAUUAUUAAUCUUCAACGAGGAAUUCCUAGUAAUGGUGAAUCAUCAGUUCAUCGUGAUUACGUCCCUGCCCUUUGUACACACCGCCCGUCGCUCCUACCGAUGAAUGGUCCGGUGAGGACUCAGGAUGCCUUUUGUCUCGGUUCGCCGUACAAAAGUGUCAGAAUUUGUUCAAACCUUAUCAUUUAAAGGAAGGAGAAGUCGUAACA
rnacentral:rRNA from 1 species